GACGAACACUGGCGGCGUGCCUAACACAUGCAAGUCGAACGAGGUCCAAGGAGUGCUUGCACUCCUGAAGACCUAGUGGCGAACGGGUGAGUAACACGUGAGAAACCUGCCCCAGACUCUGGGAUAACCCAAGGAAACUUGAGCUAAUACCGGAUACCCUCCUGCGGUCGCAUGGCUGCUUGAGGAAAGUUUUUCGGUCUGGGAGGGUCUCGCGGCCUAUCAGCUAGUUGGUGGGGUAACGGCCCACCAAGGCUACGACGGGUAGCUGGUUUGAGAGAACGAUCAGCCACACUGGAACUGAGACACGGUCCAGACUCCUACGGGAGGCAGCAGUGGGGAAUCUUGCGCAAUGGGCGAAAGCCUGACGCAGCAACGCCGCGUGCGGGAUGAAGGCCUUCGGGUUGUAAACCGCUUUCAGCAGGGACGAAAAUGACGGUACCUGCAGAAGAAGCCCCGGCUAACUACGUGCCAGCCGCCGCCGUAAGAC
rnacentral:rRNA from 1 species